rnacentral:rRNA from 1 species
UACGAAGGGGGCUAGCGUUGCUCGGAAUCACUGGGCGUAAAGCGCACGUAGGCGGAUUGCUAAGUCAGGGGUGAAAUCCUGGAGCUCAACUCCAGAACUGCCUUUGAUACUGGCGACCUUGAGUCCGGGAGAGGUGAGUGGAACUGCGAGUGUAGAGGUGAAAUUCGUAGAUAUUCGCAAGAACACCAGUGGCGAAGGCGGCUCACUGGCCCGGUACUGACGCUGAGGUGCGAAAGCGUGGGGAGCAAAUAGG